GACGAACGCUGGCGGCGUGCUUAACACAUGCAAGUCGAACGGAAAGGCCCUGCUUUUGUGGGGUGCUCGAGUGGCGAACGGGUGAGUAACACGUGAGUAACCUGCCCUUGACUUUGGGAUAACUUCAGGAAACUGGGGCUAAUACCGGAUAGGAGCUCCUGCUGCAUGGUGGGGGUUGGAAAGUUUCGGCGGUUGGGGAUGGACUCGCGGCUUAUCAGCUUGUUGGUGGGGUAGUGGCUUACCAAGGCUUUGACGGGUAGCCGGCCUGAGAGGGUGACCGGCCACAUUGGGACUGAGAUACGGCCCAGACUCCUACGGGAGGCAGCAGUGGGGAAUAUUGCACAACGGGCGGAAGCCUGAUGCAGCAACGCCGCGUGCGGGAUGACGGCCUUCGGGUUGUAAACCGCUUUCGCCUGUGACGAAGCGUGAGUGACGGUAAUGGGUAAAGAAGCACCGGCUAACUACGUGC
rnacentral:rRNA from 1 species